GAGCGAAUCAAUGGGAGCUUGCUCCCUGAGAUUAGCGGCGGACGGGUGAGUAACACGUGGGUAACCUGCCUGUAAGACUGGGAUAACUUCGGGAAACCGGAGCUAAUACCGGAUAGUUUCUUUUCUCGCAUGAGAGAAGAUGGAAAGAUGGUUUCGGCUAUCACUUACAGAUGGACCCGCGGCGCAUUAGCUAGUUGGUGAGGUAACGGCUCACCAAGGCGACGAUGCGUAGCCGACCUGAGAGGGUGAUCGGCCACACUGGGACUGAGACACGGCCCAGACUCCUACGGGAGGCAGCAGUAGGGAAUCUUCCGCAAUGGACGAAAGUCUGACGGAGCAACGCCGCGUGAGCGAAGAAGGCCUUCGGGUCGUAAAGCUCUGUUGUUAGGGAAGAACAAGUACGAGAGUAACUGCUCGUACCUUGACGGUACCUAACCAGAAAGCCACGGCUAACUACGUGCCAGCAGCCGCGGUAAUACGUAGGUGGCAAGCGUUGUCCGGAAUUAUUGGGCGUAAAGCGCGCGCAGGCGGUCCUUUAAGUCUGAUGUGAAAGCCCACGGCUCAACCGUGGAGGGUCAUUGGAAACUGGGGGACUUGAGUGCAGAAGAGGAGAGUGGAAUUCCACGUGUAGCGGUGAAAUGCGUA
rnacentral:rRNA from 1 species